rnacentral:rRNA from 1 species
UUCCAGCUCCAAUAGCGUAUAUUAAAGUUGUUGCAGUUAAAAAGCUCGUAGUUGAAUUUCGGGGUUAGUAGGUUGGUCAUGCCUCGGUAUGUACUGAUCUCACUGAUUCCUCCUUCCUUAUGAACCGUAAUGCCAUUAAUUUGGUGUUGCGGGGAAUUUGGACUGUUACUUUGAAAAAAUUAGAGUGUUUAAAGCAGGCUAACGCUUGAAUACAUUAGCAUGGAAUAAUGAAAUAGGACGUUCGAUCUUAUUUUGUUGGUUUCUAGGAUUGACGUAAUGAUUAAUAGGGAUAGUUGGGGGCAUUAGUAUUCAAUUGUCAGAGGUGAAAUUCUUGGAUUUAUUGAAGACUAACUACUGCGAAAGCAUUUGCCAAGGAUGUUUUCAUUAAUCAAGAACGAAAGUUAGGGGAUCGAAGACGAUCAGAUACCGUCGUAGUCUUAACCAUAAACUAUGCCGACUAGGGAUCGG